CCCUCACCAUCUCUCCCUACCCUCCGCCCUCUGCCCCCUGCCUCGAUCCCCCAGAUCCAAUGGACACAACCCCGCCGCCCCCGCACCCCGUACUGUCCACCAUGGCCGCCUCCUCCUCCUCCUCGCUCCGGAUCCCCGCACCAACCCACCACCCCGCCAUGGGGACGCGUCCGUGGCGGCUGCCCUUUCACGCCGUCUUCGUCUGCCCCCGCAGCUCCGCAGUAUCCUCCGUCUUCGCCUCCUCCCCGUCUCCGUCUGCGAGUUGAUUGGUCGUGCAAGUGGUGUGGUGUGGCAGUUACAUGACGAGCCCGGAGCUGGACGAGGGCGCGGUGGAGAGGCAGUCGGCGGCGGCGUCGCGCGGUGGCGGGGUAGCCGUGCAGGCGAGGGACGGGGUGUUCACGUGGGACGACGAGGAGACGGAGGCUGGGAUGGAGGUGCUUCGAGGCAUCGACCUGGAGAUCCGCAGCGGCAAGCUGGCCGCGGUGGUCGGCAUGGUCGGGUCCGGCAAGUCGUCGCUGCUCGGCUGCAUCCUCGAUGGGAUGCGCAAGGUCUCCGGUAAGGCUACAGAAAGGUUGGAAGUAGCCUACCCAACAAUAAAGGAGCUGGCUCUUGUUGGUGCUCUAAGGCUGUGAAGCAAGCAUCGCAAUAGCUUUUGUCGUUGGCUGUGAAGGCAAUUCAAGAAAAUAAUGCAAAGCUUGACAAGGAGGCAACUGAUGUGUUCAGUUGGUGCCUGACUCAGAGUCCAAAGUCCUACAAGCUGUGGGACAAGCUUCAUGCAGAGAAUACCCAAGCUACAAUUUACUCCAAUUCACAUGUUUUGAAUUCUUCAAUCUUGAAUUGUUUAAUGAUGAUAGCUAUCUUGCACCGUACUAUAAAAUCAUGGAUCGGCAACUAGCUGAUUGUCAGUCAUGGAAAUUCAUACCAUGCCUCGAAAUGUUUGAUUGACCAUCUUAUUCUUAUUGAUACAUAAAAAUUUGACAUUUUUGUUGUAAAAACAUACAUGUAUAUAUGUUGAUAGUCUAGUAAGAACUUGUUGUGUCUGGUUUGUGGAUCUUAAAAAAUAUAUCAUCUAUGCUUUUAUCCUUGAACUAUUGCUAUGGCCAUGAAUGCCCAUGCGUACCUUUGUUGUCACUUUUUAGGGUGUGCGUAGUUUGUUAAUUCAGGUAACUACAGGAUAUCCUUACUCGUACAAAAUGCCCAGUUGUUGUUCUUGUAAAUAUAGGCGUGCCUACCGUCGCCCCAUCGACACCAUCACCAAACAGAAAAGGGCUCUAGCCUCUUCUUAUGACAAGAAAAAUAGGCGUUGUUACCUGUUUGCAUCUGAGAUUGCAUAAUAUUGGAGGAACAUGCUUAAUUGGCCUGUGCAUUUGGCAGAUAUAGUUGUGUUUGUUCUGCUACUAGCAUCCUGUACUGUUUAGUUGGUAUUUGGUAUUAUAUUUUUUCUUCUAGCCCAGAUUUAUUCAUUUUAGAUCUUGUUGCAUGAUGUGUCAUGUAUAUGACUAGUACUACUAUUUCUGCAUGCUUAUAUGUUUGUGCAUUUACUAGCUUAGCUACCACAGUAGUGUUCUGUUGAAAUUUGAGGCAUAUCUUUGUUCAUAAGUGUCUUUGUUCCCAUGCAGUGUGCUUUGAAACGUAGGGCGAAUGUUGUGGAGGAGUAGGGCGAAUCGGACAUUGUCUCGCUUGUGCCGCUGUGAUAACAUGCUGAAUGUUGUAAAUGACUGUGUAUGAAUCUUCUGUACGUGCAGAUUAUCAGGCAUUAUUUAAUGCUGCUGAGGGUGUAACAGAGUGUUUCAACCAACAGCAGAAAAAUCAGUUUGAUGUAUGGAUGCUUCAUGCGGUGCUAGCUAAUGAUCUCUGUACUGAUGACAGUUUUGUGGUAAGUGUACUGUGGUAAAAUGCAGAUGUUGAUUAUUUCCUCGACCAUGGUUGUGAUGUGCUUGGUUUUAGUGGUCCUGAUGUAUGAGUCUACUUUUCCCGUUUCUUGCUGUUUUAAGAUAUCAUGUCCGAUUUCAAUGUUGGGUCGAUCGAGUUGUUGAUUUUCUCACCCUGGUCAUACCAUAAUAUGUUUGUGUUUAGUCAUGUAUGCAUCUCCAUCUUGCAAGCCUGCCAUACAUGAUAGGAUUAGUACUUAUUAACUAUUCAUAUGUGCUUGUAGAGAAGGAUACAAUUAUUAUUUAACCAGUCCAGAUUUUUUACAUUUGUGUGGCAAUCAUUCAACUUUCAUUGUAUCUCACUACAUAAAUUAGAUCAGGAUCAGGAUCUAAUUUAUGUAGAUCAGGAUCAGGAUCAGAAGAAGCCUGGAUAUGUUCACCAAGUUUUAGUUGAUGUUGCCACCAAGUUUUGGUGCAUGUGUAUUUGUUUUUUGAUUGUAUGUACACUUGUUGGAUCGUGCAGUAUGUGCUAUUGUACAUGUGCUAUUGUGAGUUUCAUUGAUAGAUUUUUGGAUUUGAUCAUUUAAUUGAGAGAAUGUUGACUGUU